GCCUGCAUGAAGUUGGAAUUGCUAGUAAUCGCGAAUCAGAAUGUCGCGGUGAAUACGUUCCCGGGCCUUGUACACACCGCCCGUCACACCAUGAGAGUCGAUAACACCCGAAGUCAGUAGCCUAACAGCAAUGAGGGCGCUGCCGAAGGUGGGAUUGGUGACUGGGGUGAAGUCGUAACAAGGUAGC
rnacentral:rRNA from 1 species